rnacentral:lncRNA from 1 species
GUUAAUUCAGCCUUGCUAAACUACCAAAAGAGAAGAAAUAAGCCUCCAGAACCAUCUAGAUGUCUCUCCUUGCCUAAAGAAGAAGCAGUAUCAAGGAGUUGAGAGCAAUCAAUUAUUUCAAAUGCUGCUGAUAGGUCAAGUGAAAGAACUGAAGAUUGGAUUUAGUAACAGAGAACUAAGAAGCAAGGUCACCAGCUGAAAGUGAGGAUGACAAGAAGGUGUUGGACAUUUGAGGGGAGAUGAGAGGCAU